GAUGGUGGAAUGCGGAAGCCGGCGCCAUCUUUGAGGCACGGUGUGACGCAGCUCUCCACAAAAACCUAGCAGAUUCUAGCCUGUCUUAAUCUGCUUUUCCAUUAUAAAGCUGACAUGGCCUUCUCUAGAAUGUUAUUCCAAUAAUGGGGACAACGAGGUCUAUGUUUACAAGGUUACAAUCCAUCACCAAGUGAAGCCAUGGCAGGAGCUCAAGGCAAGAGCUUGACCCAGAGACCAUGGAGGAAUGAUACUUUGUGCCUUGCUCCAGGCUCCAGGCCAGCAGCUACCUUUCUUAUACAGCUCAAAACCACCUACCCAGGAGUGGCAUCACCUACAGAGGGCCAGGCCCUUCUCCAUCAAUGAACUUCAAGAAAAUGGCCCCAGAGACAGCCCACACUUCAGUCUGAUGGAGACAAUUCCUCAGUUGAAGUCUCCUCUUCCCAGAGGUCUCUGGUUUGUGUCAACAAAAAUUAACCGACUCACCACCAAACACACAAAUUCAACAAAAUGAAUUAUUAAUUACUGUUAAUAAACACCUUUAAGUAAUAA